GGGGUAUAGCUCAGUUGGCUAGAGCGCCUGCAUGGCAUGCAGGAGGUCAAGGGUUCGACUCCCUUUAUCUCC
rnacentral:tRNA from 1 species